GGUUCAUGACUGGGGUGAAGUCGUAACAAGGUAGCGCUAGGGGAACCUGGCGCUGGAUCACCUCCUUAUACGAUGAUUAUUGCGAUGAGUGUUCACACAGAUUGAUAUGGUUUAGAAAGUUUAGAGUAUCUUAGUGUCCCGUUCGUCUAGAGGCCUAGGACACCGCCCUUUCACGGCGGUAACAGGGGUUCGACUCCCCUACGGGAUACCAUGGGUCGUUAGCUCAGUCGGUAGAGCAGUUGACUUUUAAUCAAUUGGUCGCAGGUUCGAAUCCUGCACGACCCACCAUUACUUCAAGAGUUGGGGCUAUAGCUCAGCUGGGAGAGCGCCUGCCUUGCACGCAGGAGGUCUGCGGUUCGAUCCCGCAUAGCUCCACCAUUCUUGAACGCAAUGGGCGAUUAGCUCAGUUGGGAGAGCACCUGCCUUACAAGCAGGGGGUCACUGGUUCGAACCCGGUAUCGCCCACCACUCUUUAAAUAUUUUUAGUGUUUCUUAAUGAAAACCACCUUCUUUAUGUCUGUGGUUGAUUUUUCGACGCUGAAAGUCUUUAAAAAGUGUGUUUCUCAUAGAGAAUUGCAUUGCUCUUUAACAAUUUGGAAAGCUGACAAAACAACAAUUUAUUGUUGUUUGUAAAGUUCUCAAUGUUUGUCUUUAAGACAAACACCAACAAACACAUUCAAGUGUUCUUGGGAAUGUCACUGUUAAGUGACUAUUCGAAAUUGAGUCCGGCAAAAUCAACGCUAUCUCGCUCAUUCAAAUAAUGAGAUAGCAACUUUGGUUGUUUAACAAAGACCCUUUGGGGUUGUAU
rnacentral:misc_RNA from 1 species